AUUGAACGCUGGCGGCAGGCCUAACACAUGCAAGUCGAACGAGUGGCGGACGGGUGAGUAAUGUCUGGGAAACUGACUGAUGGAGGGGGAUAACUACUGGGAACGGUAGCUAAUACCGCAUACCAUCAGAUGUGCCCAGAUGGGUUUAGCUUGUUGGUGGGGUAACGGCUCACCAAGGCGACGAUCCCUAGCUGGUAUGAGAGGAUGACCAGCCACACUGUAACUGAGACACGGUCUAGACUCGUACGGGAGUCAGCAGUGGGGAAUAUUGCACAAUGGGCGCAAGCCUGAUGCAGCCAGGCCGCGUGUAUGAAGAAGGCCUUCGGGUUGUAAAGUACUUUCAGCGGGGAGGCGUUACCCGCAAAAGUAGCACCGGCUAACUCCGUGCCAGCAGCCGCGGUAAUUC
rnacentral:rRNA from 1 species